GGCUGGGGAGGCGCCGGGUCACGUGGCGCCGUCACGUGGCCCCAGCCCGACUGGCGGCGGCGCUGAGGGAGGCGGAGUCUCGGCCGAGACGCGGGGGUGGGGGAGGCGGCGGCGGCGGCGCGGCGCCGAGGGGCUGCCGGAGGCGGAGGCGGAGAGGCGCGGGGCCGCCGCCACGGCCGCUCGGGAGGUGAGGCUGCACCAGGGCGGCGGGGACCGGGGCGGCGGGGCCGGGGCGGUGGGCGCGGUGGGAGCGGCCGGCGCCGCGCGCGGGGCUCCUCAGCGGACCCCCAGCUCGGGCGGCCCGCGCCUUGCUCGUCCGCUCUCUCGUUCGCCUUUUGUUCCGGCGUGCGAGGAGAUGGGCCGACCGGGGAGCUCAGGCGUGUGUGUGUAAAUCAGGAGGCGUUUGGCUUGGAGCCAUUUUUUUUUUUUCUUCUUCUUCUUCUUCUUCUUCUUCUUAAUUGUGGAGACAGGAAAAAUCCCUUCCAACGGUUUUCCCAGGGAGACUGGCUUCGUCGGCCCGGCCUCCCCGCGGUCCCUAGUCUAUCUGCCGGCCUCGGGGUCCCGGGCGGGUCUCCUUUCCCUCUUUCUCCUCCCUGCCCUCCCCACCUUGAGUCAAGCCCCGCCAGCCAGCGGGUAAGCGGGGUGUCUGUCUGCAAAGCGGCCCGGUCACCUGUCGUGGCAGCUGCAUGGAAAUCCCGGCGCUCCUGCUGUCUGGAGCCUGUGCGGUUUCCUCUGGCAAAUCACGGAGAUUCCGCUCCCAGCGCCAACCCUUCCUCUGCGCCCCUGCGCCCUCCUAACCCAGCUCCUGGUGCUGACGCGAAGUUUCAUCGUUUGGGGGCAAUUAGCAAGGAGGUCCCCACUACUUUCUGUGGAGGCACCGCUUGGUUGGGAAGGUCGGAUUCAGGAAGGUUUUGAAUGGCUCUUGUGACCAUGGAUAAGAUUUGUAAGAGCCCAAGACCUUCAAGUCAUUAAUAAUCUGACGGUUCCUGAAUUAACUGGGAAAACAAACAGAUCAAGUGCCAGUUGAAGACUGUAUCCAUACAUGUAAACCUUGUCUACACACACACCUUCAUAAGAAGACAGGCUCAUUCUGCACACAGAAUUUCGCAGCUGAUGAAAAUUAAGCAUCAGAUGAAACAACUUGAUACUGCUGGGGUCUGGAGUCGGUGGAGCGCAGUCCAUCACUAAUGACAAAUUUUCCUUAUGGUGUUCAUGGGCAGAGCAAGUUUGCAGAAGAAAAAAUUGCACGUAUUAAGCCUCAAGAUUACCUCUCCAGUAUAAAGAAGCAACAGAGUUUAAAACUCUGCACUAAAACUCAGUAACUUUACUUUGGUUGUGGCUUUCGUGAGGGGAGAGAUCUGAAAAGGAACAGAUAGAUUCCUUUGUGUCUUUAGCUAACUAUUUGAAAAAAAAUUUAUUUAUUGUUUAGCUUUUUGAAAAUAUAAGGUAUUUUAAAAUUCUAAUUGGAACUGCCAAUUACAAAAUAAAUAUCAAGGAAAAACCUUCUUGAACUAAGGU
rnacentral:lncRNA from 1 species